rnacentral:rRNA from 1 species
GACGAACGCUGGCGGCGUGCUUAACACAUGCAAGUCGAACGGCAAGGCCCUGCUUUUGUGGGGUGCUCGAGUGGCGAUCGGGUGAGUAACACGUGAGUAACCUGCCCUUGACUUUGGGAUAACUUAAGGAAACUGGGGCUAAUAUCGGAUAGGAGCUCCUGCUGCAUGGUGGGGGUUGGAAAGUUUCGGCGGUUGGGGAUGGAUUCGCGGCUUAUCAGCUUGUUGGUGGGGUAGUGGCAUACCAAGGCUUUGACGGGUCCCCCACCUGUGAGGGUGACCAGCCACAAUGGGACUAAGGUACGGCCCAGACUCCUACAGGAGGCAGCAGUGGGGAAUAUUGCACAGUGGUCGCAAGCCUGAUGCAGCGACGCCGCGUGCGGGAUGACGGCCUUCGGGUUGUAAACCGCUUUCGCCUGUGACGAAGCGUGAGUGACGGUAAUGGGUAAAGAAGCACCGGCUAACUACGUG